rnacentral:misc_RNA from 1 species
GAUGAAGAACGUAGCGAAAUGCGAUAAGUAAUGUGAAUUGUAGAAUUCAGUGAAUCAUCGAAUCUUUGAACGCACCUUGCACCCUUUGGCAUUCCGAAGGGUAUGCUCGUUUGAGUGUCAUUGUACUCUCACACUCUCCGAUCCUAUGGAUUCGGGGAGCGGUGGACUUGGGUGUUGCUGCCUUUCCCUGUGGCUCACCUCAAAUGCGUCAGUGCACCUCUUGGUUGGACAUAGUACGGCGUGAUAAGUGUCUUCGCCGGCACCUCGCAAGAGGGUGGCCGAUCGGGAGCUCUGCGCUUUCAAACCGUCUUCGGACAAUUUCUGACAUCUUGACCUCAAAUCGAGUAGGACUACCCGCUGAACUUAAGCAUAUCAAUAAGCGGAGGA